rnacentral:rRNA from 1 species
CAGCAGCCGCGGGAAUACGAAGGGGGCUAGCGUUGUUCGGAUUUACUGGGCGUAAAGGGUGCGUAGGCGGAUUGUUAAGUCAGGGGUGAAAUCCCGAGGCUCAACCUCGGAACUGCCUUUGAUACUGGCGAUCUUGAGUCCGGGAGAGGUGAGUGGAACUGCGAGUGUAGAGGUGAAAUUCGUAGAUAUUCGCAAGAACACCGGUGGCGAAGGCGGCUCACUGGCCCGGAACUGACGCUGAGGCACGAAAGCGUGGGGAGCAAACAGGAUUAGAUACCCGAGUAGUCCCUGUCUCUUAUAC